GAAGCAGAGAUGCCAGCUGAGGUCCUGCCCCCAGCUCCCCUUAAGCUGAGCAGUGUGGAGAACAUCUUGCACAGGCUGCUGACUGCCUUCCAAGAAGCCCUUGACCUUUACCAUGUGUUGGUCUCCCUUGACCGGGUGGGCACUGAGCAGUAGCAGGUGUAGACUGAGCUGGCCUCUAACUUCCUUUGGAUCCACAGCCAGUUGUAGGCCAACAACGGGGUGGAGGGGUCUGAUGUGGCUCC
rnacentral:lncRNA from 1 species